rnacentral:rRNA from 1 species
UACAGAGGUGGCAAGCGUUGUUCGGAAUUACUGGGCGUAAAGGGCGCGUAGGCGGCCUUCUUAGUCGGACGUGAAAUCCCCAGGCUCAACUUGGGAACUGCGUCCGAUACUGGAUGGCUUGAGUGCGGGAGAGGGAUGUGGAAUUCCAGGUGUAGCGGUGAAAUGCGUAGAUAUCGGGAGGAACACCUGAGGCGAAGGCGGGCUACUGGGCUGAUACUGACUCUGAGGCGCGAAAGCUAGGGGAGCAAACGGG